CUCUGCUUCUAAAGGCACAGUGUGCCCGGAGCCGUGCUGCAUCCCCAAGUGCCAGCCUUAGAGCUGUGAGGGCUGGCACUGCCGGGGGUCCUGCUGCUCCUUCCUGACUGCUGGGAUCUGGGGGGCGCACCCCUGCCGUGCUCUGCUCCUCGGGGAUUUAUACAGGCACCCACGCAGUGCUGAUUGGCCUCAGCUGAGCUGACAUCACCGCUCCCGUCCCAGUGGCAAACCCCGGGCAGGAAGCACCUGGAGGAGUCUGACCCCACGCCAUGUACUGGGGAGGGUGGAGGCUGGGUUUCACUUCUGCUGACGUUGCUUUUCUGACAGCCCCAACCCAGCAGGAAGGACAGGUGGGGCAGAGCAAAGGGCACCGGGCAGCACUCCGGCCCAGGACACGUCGGGGAUGAAUGCUGGUUUAUGCAACGUGCCAAUCGCUGAUGGCAGGGGGCACCGACCGACCUGGGCUCCUUGAAUCAGACGCUUCCAGCAGAAACAUCCA
ensembl:lncRNA